rnacentral:rRNA from 1 species
UACGAAGGGAGCUAGCGUUGUUCGGAAUUACUGGGCGUAAAGGGCGCGUAGGCGGGUUUCCAAGUCGGGGGUGAAAUCCUGGAGCUCAACUCCAGAACUGCCUUUGAUACUGAGAAGCUUGAGUCCGGGAGAGGUGAGUGGAACUGCGAGUGUAGAGGUGAAAUUCGUAGAUAUUCGCAAGAACACCAGUGGCGAAGGCGGCUCACUGGCCCGGUACUGACGCUGAGGUGCGAAAGCGUGGGGAGCAAACAGGG